AACGCGAAGAACCUUACCUCCCCUUUACAUACUCAGAAGUUGUUAAAAGAAAUGUAGUUCCCUUGGGGGGCAUGAGACCAGGUGCUGCAGGGCGUUCUUAAGCUGGGUCGUGAGAUGGUUGGGUUAAUUCCGGAACCGAGCCCACCCUUAUCCUUAGUUGCCCACCAGUUAGGGUGGGAACUCUAGGGAGACUGCCGGUGUUAACCCGGAGGAAGGUGGGGAUGACGUCAAGUCAUCAUGGCCCUUAUGUGUGGGGCUACACACGUGCUACAAUGGUCGGUACAGAGGGCAGCGAACCCGCGAGAGCCAGCCAAUCCCAAAAACCGGUUCCUAGUCCGGAUGGCAUUCUGCAAUUGGCUUCCAUGAAGUCGGAAUCGUUAGUAAUGUGGUCAUCAAAAUGCCCCGGAAAAUACUUUCCCGGGUCUUGUACACACCG
rnacentral:rRNA from 1 species